rnacentral:rRNA from 1 species
GAUGAACGCUAGCGGCAGGCUUAAUACACGCAAGUCGAGGGACGGCACAGGUAGCAAUACUGGGUGGUAACCGGCAAACGGGUGCGGAACACGUACACAACCUGCCUUUAAGUGGGGGAUAGCCCAGAGAAAUUUGGAUUACUACCCCGUAAUAUAGUUGAAUGGCAUCAUUUGAUUAUUAUAGCUACGGCGCUUAAUGAUGGGUGUCCGACUGAGUAGAUAGUUGGCGGGGUAACGGCCCACCAAGUCUACGAUCAGUAGCUGAUGUGAGCUCAUGGUCAGCCACACGGGCACUGAGACACGGGCCCGACUCCUACGGGAGGCAGCAGUAAGGAAUAUUGGUCAAUGAACGCAAGUCUGAACCAGCCAUGCCGCGUGAAGGAUUAAGGUCCUCUGGAUUGUAAACUUCUUUUAUUUGGGACGAAAAAGGGCCUUUCUAGGUCAACCGACGGUACCAGAUGAAUAAGCACCGGCUAACUCCGUGCCAGCCGCCGCAGUAACAC